rnacentral:rRNA from 1 species
CCUACGGGAGGCAGCAGUAAGGAAUAUUGGUCAAUGGACGCAAGUCUGAACCAGCCAUGCCGCGUGAAGGAUUAAGGUCCUCUGGAUUGUAAACUUCUUUUAUCUGGGACGAAAAAAGGCGAUUCUUCGUCACUUGACGGUACCAGAUGAAUAAGCACCGGCUAACUCCGUGCCAGCAGCCGCGGUAAUACGGAGGGUGCAAGCGUUAUCCGGAUUCACUGGGUUUAAAGGGUGCGUAGGCGGGCAGGUAAGUCAGUGGUGAAAUCCUAGAGCUUAACUCUAGAACUGCCAUUGAUACUAUCUGUCUUGAAUAUUGUGGAGGUAAGCGGAAUAUGUCAUGUAGCGGUGAAAUGCUUAGAUAUGACAUAGAACACCUAUUGCGAAGGCAGCUUACUACGCAUAUAUUGACGCUGAGGCACGAAAGCGUGGGGAUCAAACAGGAUUAGAUACCCUGGUAGUCCACGCCCUAAACGAUGAUUACUCGACAUUUGUGAUACACUAUAAGUGUCUGAGCGAAAGCAUUAAGUAAUCCACCUUGGAAGUACGACCGCAAGGUUGAAACUUCAAAGGAAUUGACGG